AAAGCAUCAUAGAAUUUCAUACCAGAGAUCAGUGCGCGCGUUUUCUUAUUGACAUAGUUUUCAGGGCAAAUACAGGAAGAAUUGACUUUCAUCAGGAAUUUCAUCAUUUUUUGUUACGGUGAAAGAUUGAUGGAAUAAAGUUGUCUUUUUAUAUAGAACUUCACCGAGGAAAAAAAAAUACGAGCAAUUGUUUAACUGGGUUUGACGGGUUAACGUUUUACGGGAAUCUGAUUUUGUAUAGUUUUGUAUUUUGGUCUCCUAUUCCGUAGCAUUUACCGCUAAAACAGGCAAGAAAAAGACUAAAAUUAUCCGCAUAAAGAAGAUUUGCCGUUAUUCCACGUACGCUUGGGUUAAAUUGGCACGUCGUCGCGACAGAAAAGAAUUAUGUGAUAAAGAGUAUUUGUCCACCAUUACAAGAUUUUGAAAUUCGACUCAGCGAUUCAUUACCAAAGUAAUCCAAUUGAUACAAAAAUGAAUAGAGUUCUGGGAAACAACAGGCAACACAGAAUCCCAGUGCAAGAGCAACAGCAUAUACUUAUACACUUAUCUAACAUCCAAAGAAAACCUAUCAUGCAAGAAACAAGUUUACCGGGAAGAGUUG